AGCCUAGUUAGCUCAAUUGGCAGAGCAUCGGUCUUGUAAACCGAAGGUUAUCGGUUCGACUCCGAUACCGGGCUU
rnacentral:tRNA from 1 species